GUGGAAGUUAAUUUAGGGGGGGUGUGUAUUAAACAUGUUAUGCUAUAUGUGCGUUGAGAAGAUCUCUGGGCCAUUCACGUUUGAGGUGUCUGUCUUGGAUGUCCCGAAGAGCAUGGGUAUGAAGUUGAGCAAUGAGGGUAUUUGAAUGAUGUUCCAUAUUGGAGUGGAGUCGAAGAUAAUACUUUAUAGAAAAAUUUUUAUAAAAAAAUUAUAUUUCUAAGUAAAGCUGUUAUAUUGAAUAUGUAAUGCGAGUGGUAAAAAAAAAUGUUUUUCAGUUUGGGGCCCCUCAAAAUAUUUCCCUGUAACAAAAAUACUACCUAUCCACCCCUGUCAACAGCGAUUAAAAUCCAUUAGCCCACCAGUCGAUACCGCUAGGAAACUGUCCAGUUCAGGAUUUGAUAAUGCUAAGGAAUGGCGAAAAAAAUGGGCUAGCUCUACUGUUUCAAAAAGGAAACUUGUCCUCGACACUAAUAUCAGAGUCCUAGGGAUGAAUCUUCCUUGUAGCACCUGAUCUACACUAAACAGAUUACUAACAGGCUAUGGUAGGUGCGGCGCUCUCUUACAUAAAUAGGGUUUUCAAGACAAUCCAGUUUGUGAUUAUGGCAGCGCGGAAGAAACAAUGGACCACAUUGUAACGGAAUACCGGAGAAGAAAAUUUGGCCAGGGUUAUGAAUGCCUACACAAAGUGAUGCCAGAGGCAAUAGACUGGAUUAGUAACUUCGAUGUACGUCUAUGAAGCAAUUAUGUAUAUUAUGUAUAUAUAUGUAUUUUAUAGAAUGUUUGUAUUGUUAGUUGAGUUGUUUUGUGUGAAAAAAAAAAGGUAUACGAAAUAAAUAACCAAUCUGAACGAUGGAAUUUCUGAAUUAAUCGGCUUUAAACCUUAACACUCCGAUUAAUGAUUAAUUGAUCGUAGUUGAGCAACAAACCCAAACGUCAACUUAAAUGUUGUCGAUUCUUAAGAUAGUGAGUAUAAAACAUAGAUAUAAACAUUGAUUAUAAAUAAUAGUAUUUAUAAUCAAUGGUGUAUACCUACGACAAGACAUUUUUAAUUUAAUAAGAACAAAAACAAAGUAAGGGUCAAGGACCAUGGUGGGGGGACAACCGGUAACAAAAUCUGAAUUUCUUGUUCCAGUCAUCCAGACAUGAUUCAUCACUGUUACUGUGCCAGUGGACUGUUGACUGAACUAAAUUCACCGUUAGUAUAUUCCGAAUUUCUCGUAGUCAAUGCGGUCAAAGGGCUCGAUAAUACAUAAUAUAAUGUAGCUCAAUAAUGCGAUCGCGUGCAGUGUACUAUUAGAAUAAAGAAAACAAAUUUUUUAUUUUAUUAAAUACGUAUCGUUUUGAUAGGUACAUUGUGCAUAUUGUAGGUACGUUAUACAUUUAUAUUUUAUGCGCGACGAAAUAU